AGUUGACUAACAGCUUUGACCUCGGACUUCUAAUCCGACGGUCGCGGGUUCGAAUCCUGCCGGGC
rnacentral:tRNA from 1 species